GUUCAUUAUGGACCACUUAAGGACCUGGUCCACCAUAAUCUUGGCCUCAAACAUAACACAAUUAAUUUCAUUCUUAAACUAUUAAAGAUAAAAAAAAAAUUCCGCUACGACAAUACCAAAAAAUAAGCAAAAACUAAUAACUAUAGCACCGCCCAAAAUAAACAACUAACGGCCAAAUGACAACAACAAAGAUGUCAUAGUGGAAAUUCUCCAAAAAAACAAACCAUCAUAACACUUGUUGAAGUUCCAAUUAGCAUACACAUAAAAAAAAUAUAAGAACAAUAAAUAUUAUCACUUCUUCUUGUUUUCCCUUUGUGGCAUCCCUGGUCUGAGAAUGAAGCUCAUGAAGUUAGGUUUUAUCAUCCUUGGUGAAGGUCCAGCUAGGAAUGGUAUCCUGAUAGGUGCAGUAGGCCUAGUUAGAAGAGGCCUAAAUGUAGGUGUUGGCUGAACAGACACGAAAUUUGGUUCCUGCAACUAAUGAAUUUAAUGACAAUAAUUAGUGUAGGUCAUGCAUGCUACAAUAUGCAAAGAAUAAGGGAUUUAACUCAACUUGUGGUAGAAGACUUGUUUGCACUGUUAUAGGCUUAGGUUGACCUCCAGAGUCAACCAUUGACACUGUUGGAGGUUGUUCUGCAGUGGAUGCAAAUUGAGAACAAUCAAUCUCAUCCUAUAAGAGUUAAAGACAAAUAUAAGUAAAGCUCCAACAUGCAUAAUAUAACAAUAACAAAAACAAAAAACAAAAUUUAUUUUUACAACUUGUUAAGAUUGGGUGUUAUCAGACUCUUCAAGUGGUGGUGGUUGCCAAUUUUUGGGUCUUGGUGGAAUACCACCAUUUGUACAUCCCCUACAGUUGUGACCAGAAAGAUUACAUCUUUUGUCAGUGGUUUUCUUGUAAGUUCUUUCGAGUCUACUACUGUUGACUUGACCUUUAUUCUAAUCCCUUCUAGAUUUCUUUAGAUGCUCAAGUCUUCUUUUCGUGGUAUGAGAAUGAUAUUAAUUUGUGAAUCUUUUCUCAUAGAGUCAUUAACUUGAUUCUGAAUUUGGUUAACAAUCCUUUCAAUUUCCUUGUCAAGAUCAACAUCAAUAUCUUGAACUUCAUCCUCAGUUUGAUUCACCACAACCUUAUCAGGCACACCACCUACCAGAAUUGGGAAAUCAUCCACUAUAUGUUCAAAGUGUAUGCACAUAUUUGUUAGGGUGAGCAAUACCCAUGUGGCACAUGUGCAAGAUAUCUUUAUCAUUCUCCAACUAAAGCAAUGCAUAAUCCUCAUUAAUGCUAAGAUAAAAAAAAAAAGCACAGUUGCACAAGUCAAAAAUAGUCCACACUGUCAUCUUUCAUAAUUCUCCCAAACACAGAACUCACCGUCCACAUAUUCCAAUGUGUCAUAUCAUCCUUGUUGAAUCUACCCUUGUGGUGCACAACAAGAUCGAUGUGAUCAGAAUUCUACGACCCAUGAAAAGAACAACAUGAUUAAUUUCUUCACACACAAGACCAUCUACUUAAGCACCAACACAAAGACACAAUUUUUAUAACCAAAAACAUCAUGAUUUCAAUAUCUAAACUAGUAUCAGUACCCAUUGUCAAAUUUUUUAUACCAAAAAUAGAGUGCACCCACACUCUAACAGAAACAUAUCAAUACAAACCUUAAACCCUAACUUUGUUCUAGAAACGAAAAACGAUAGUUUUUUUAACAUCAGAAAAACUUAAGAGAAGGAACAAACAACAACGAAAAAAACUCAAGACAUAGCUACACACAACCAAACAACUUCCACAAAAAAGGAACAAAAAAAUGUGAAUAGUCCAUUAUCAAAUGCUUACCUUCUGACCAAAUC
rnacentral:lncRNA from 1 species